rnacentral:misc_RNA from 1 species
GUUUUGGUAGUUUAUAAAUAUAAUUUAACUACUUACCUGAAAAAUACUCACCCUCAUGUCUUCUUCUUCACAGCCGCGAAGCCUUGUUCUUCCUAAAAUAAAGGCUUUGAUCAACAUAAGGGAUGUUGCUCAAGGCUUUGAUCAAAAUAAGGGAUGUUGCUCUCGUUUGCCACAGGUUGUUUCAAAACGCUUUUACCUUUCAUCCAUUCAUCAGAUUACUUCCAAAAGGCGCACGUCUUCUAUACUUUCAAACUUCAAUGUACCAAAGACAAGAAUAGAUUCUAAUCAAUUUCUUGUAGAUCAAUUAAUUAGUUUUCCCGGAUGCUUGCUAUUCAAUUUAUUCUAAAUUUAAUGCUGGUUUUACUUAGGGGAACAGUGUUAUUUCUGUUCUUUGCAAAUAUUCUGGGUCUCAAAAUCUCCAUGCAGAGUAAGUUUCAGUUUUUGGGGCGGCACUGCAUUGAAUGUGGAAAUGGAUUGUCAUUUUGACUGGGGAUUUUAGCUGUUUAUCCAAGUAUUUGGGAGAAAAAUGAUCAAUUAUUAACUCAUUCAUGAAGAUGUCUAUAAAUGGCUUGAAUUGCUUUAUCUUUGAAUUGCUGGUUGAUGUCUAGAAAUGAUUUGAAUCUAGAAAUGGCUUGAAUUGCUUUAUCUUUGAAUUG